UUUUCAGGACGACUCCAAAUACCAUUUACCCAAUCCCAGUGAAGCUUUUCAGGACGUAAACAAACAGAGCAAAGAAGCAGACUCACGAGGGUUUCAAACCUAAAAGAAGCGGCCAACGAUCCGACAAGAUCUCGAACAGAGUCGGCGAACGAUCCGGCAGAAGCAACUUUGCGUGAGAGGAUGAGAGGUUAUUCACGAAAGCUUCGAGAGAGGGCAGGAUAAAAGUGACCCAGGUGUUUUGGUGGGUCAGCUUUAUCCCCCUCGAGGCGGAUAAAUUGAUUAACGGGAUAAAUGUGUCCCGUCCUCUAUUUUCCUUCCCAAACAUCAGAUUGGGACUAUAACCUGUCCGAUCCUGACCAAUCCCAUGUAACAAACACCCCCUAACAUUACCGGAUUUACAGUGUUUUGGCAGAAAAUUGGACAGAUCAUUUCAAGGCCGACAUAACAUGAAUGGUUGUUGGGAUGGAAUUUUCAAUUGCAUACAUGUCUCAUAUAUUUCUCACAUACCAAUCACCAUCGACAACAUAUUUUAUAAUUUUAUUUUCUAUUUAUUUAAUUAUCCUAAAAUAUUAAUAAGAUAAUUACAAGUAUAACUAAUUUGAUUUUAUAUCGCAGAAAAUUGGAGCCUAUCAACAAAAACUCCAGCCAAGGCAUCAUCGAGAACCAAAAUUAGUGGCUUGAACCUACAUCUUCUUCUUCUUGGAUUUGGAGCGUUCGAGGAACGGAGAAAGACCAGAGAAAGAGAGUGAGCAAGAGUGAGAAAAAGAGUGUUCCGAGGAACAGAUAAAAGACCAACGAAAGAGAGUGACAGCAAGAGAGAACCCCGAUCUCAGAGUGAUUGCCAGACGAGAAGAGAGUGAGCAAGAAUGAAGGAGCCAGAUCUACGAGGAAAAGUGAGACAAAGAGAUCAGAGAGUAAGAGAUCCAAGGUAUCGUUCGGUUUCGAUCACCACUGGUUUUUGGUUCCGGUUAACCGACCGGCUGGACUACGAUCACCGAAAAAUCGUUUCGUCCGGUUUCACUGAUUCGGUUUUGUCAGUUGACCGGUUAUUAUGCCCACCCCUCCUGAGUUUUAGUAUUUAUAAUGGCGUUUAAUUGACUACGGAAAAUGCGCUUAUAAGAAGACAAAACUAAUAUCUAAUAUCUUAAAACAUCUACAUGGUAAAGCACAUGGAAAAUAUGUUAUAUGAUCAUUGAUCAGUAUAAAUUGAUUCCUCCACCAAAAAUUUAAAUUGACUCACCUUUAUAUUUUAAACUAAACGGUAACCUUGGAUACCAAGACUAAUUUUGGAUCCACAAUAAUAAUUGCCUCAGUGUACUGCAUUUUCUUAGUACAAAAAAAUAAGCAUAAAUAGUCUUAAAAACCUAGGGAUAUAAUUCCUGAUAGGGGACUGUUUUUUUCUUUGUUUUUUGUUUUGUUUUUUUUUUUUUUUUUUUUUUUUUUU